rnacentral:rRNA from 2 species
UUGACCUCGGAUCAAG